rnacentral:rRNA from 1 species
AAAUUGAAGAGUUUGAUCAUGGCUCAGAUUGAACGCUGGCGGCAGGCCUAACACAUGCAAGUCGAACGGUAACAGGAAACAGCUUGCUGUUUCGCUGACGAGUGGCGGACGGGUGAGUAAUGUCUGGGAAACUGCCCGAUGGAGGGGGAUAACUACUGGAAACGGUAGCUAAUACCGCAUAACGUCGCAAGACCAAAGAGGGGGACCUUCGGGCCUCUUGCUAUCGGAUGUGCCCAGAUGGGAUUAGCUAGUAGGUGGGGUAACGGCUCACCUAGGCGACGAUCCCUAGCUGGUCUGAGAGGAUGACCAGCCACACUGGAACUGAGACACGGUCCAGACUCCUACGGGAGGCAGCAGUGGGGAAUAUUGCACAAUGGGCGCAAGCCUGAUGCAGCCAUGCCGCGUGUAUGAAGAAGGCCUUCGGGUUGUAAAGUACUUUCAGCGGGGAGGAAGGGAGUAAAGUUAAUACCUUUACUCAUUGACGUUACCCGCAGAAGAAGCACCGGCUAACUCCGUGCCAGCAGCCGCGGUAAUACGGAGGGUGCAAGCGUUAAUCGGAAUUACUGGGCGUAAAGCGCACGCAGGCGGUUUGUUAAGUCAGAUGUGAAAUCCCCGGGCUCAACCUGGGAACUGCAUCUGA